CCAGACUCCUACGGGAGGCAGCAGUGGGGAAUAUUGCACAAUGGGGGAAACCCUGAUGCAGCGACGCCGCGUGAGUGAAGAAGUAUUUCGGUAUGUAAAGCUCUAUCAGCAGGGAAGAAGAAGGACGGUACCUGAGUAAGAAGCCCCGGCUAACUACGUGCCAGCAGCCGCGGUAAUACGUAGGGGGCAAGCGUUAUCCGGAUUUACUGGGUGUAAAGGGAGCGUAGACGGCGAAGAAAGUCUGAAGUGAAAGCCCGCGGCUCAACCGCGGAAUGGCUUUGGAAACUUUUUUGCUGGAGUACCGGAGAGGUAAGCGGAAUUCCUAGUGUAGCGGUGAAAUGCGUAGAUAUUAGGAGGAACACCAGUGGCGAAGGCGGCUUACUGGACGGUAACUGACGUUGAGGCUCGAAAGCGUGGGGAGCAAACAGGAUUAGAUACCCGAGUA
rnacentral:rRNA from 1 species